CCAUGUUGGCGAUACAUGUGGUUAAUGAGGAGUUUAAAGGCAUGGAUUCCCUAAGUGAUGAUUUGUUUGAGGUGUUCACCUUUGCUAAGGAACGCAUUGUUAGUGAUUUCUGUCAUGUUCGUAGAGAAGCCAAUAGAGUGGCUCAUUGUUUGGCAAAUUUUGCCGCAGUUUCGUCUGGUGUAAAGAUCUGGGAGUCAAGUUUCCCGGCUUGGCUCUCGGAUAUUGCUGCUCGGGAUCUUUAAUUGAAUAGAGAUCUCUCGCGUUCAAAAAAAAA
rnacentral:lncRNA from 1 species